rnacentral:rRNA from 1 species
AGUGAACGCUGGCGGUAGGCCUAACACAUGCAAGUCGAACGGCAGCACAGGAGAGCUUGCUCUCUGGGUGGCGAGUGGCGGACGGGUGAGGAAUACAUCGGAAUCUACUCUGUCGUGGGGGAUAACGUAGGGAACCUUACGCUAAUACCGCAUACGACCUACGGGUGAAAGCAGGGGACCUUCGGGCCUUGCGCGAUUGAAUGAGCCGAUGUCGGAUUGGCUAGUUGGCGGGGUAAAGGCCAACCAAGGCGACGAUCCGUAGCUGGUCUGAGAGGAUGAUCAGCCACACUGGAACUGAGACACGGUCCAGACUCCUACGGGAGGCAGCAGUGGGGAAUAUUGGACAAUGGGCGCAAGCCUGAUCCAGCAAUACCGCGUGGGUGAAGAAGGCCUUCGGGUUGUAAAGCCCUUUUGUUGGGAAAGAAAUCCAGCUGGCUAAUACCCGGUUGGGAUGACGGUACCCAAAGAAAAAGCACCGGCUAACUUCGUGCCAGCAGCCGCAGUAA